rnacentral:rRNA from 1 species
AUGAACGCUGGCGGCGUGCCUAAUACAUGCAAGUCGAGCGAACGGACGAGAAGCUUGCUUCUCUGAUGUUAGCGGCGGACGGGUGAGUAACACGUGGAUAACCUACCUAUAAGACUGGGAUAACUUCGGGAAACCGGAGCUAAUACCGGAUAAUAUUUUGCACCGCAUGGUUCAAAAGUGAAAGACGGUCUUGCUGUCACUUAUAGAUGGAUCCGCGCUGCAUUAGCUAGUUGGUAAGGUAACGGCUUACCAAGGCAACGAUGCAUAGCCGACCUGAGAGGGUGAUCGGCCACACGGGAACUGAGACACGGUCCAGACUCCUACGGGAGGCAGCAGUAGGGAAUCUUCCGCAAUGGGCGAAAGCCUGACGGAGCAACGCCGCGUGAGUGAUGAAGGUCUUCGGAUCGUAAAACUCUGUUAUUAGGGAAGAACAUAUGUGUAAGUAACUGUGCACAUCUUGACGGUACCUAAUCAGAAAGCCACGGCUAACUACGUG